AACGAACGCUGGCGGCAGGCCUAACACAUGCAAGUCGAACGCCCCGCAAGGGGAGUGGCAGACGGGUGAGUAACGCGUGGGAACCUUCCCAAAGGUGCGGAAUAGCUCAGGGAAACUUGGGGUAAUACCGCAUAAUGCCGAGAGGCCAAAGAUUUAUCGCCUUUGGAUGGGCCCGCGUCGGAUUAGCUAGUUGGUGAGGUAACGGCUCACCAAGGCGACGAUCCGUAGCCGGUUUGAGAGAAUGACCAGCCACACUGGGACUGAGACACGGCCCAGACUCCUACGGGAGGCAGCAGUGGGGAAUCUUGGACAAUGGGCGCAAGCCUGAUCCAGCCAUGCCGCGUGAGUGACGAAGGCCUUAGGGUUGUAAAGCUCUUUUGCCGGGGACGAUAAUGACGGUACCCGGAGAAUAAGUCCCGGCUAACUUCGUGCCAGCAGCCGCGGUAA
rnacentral:rRNA from 1 species